AUGAGCCAGGCACCAUUGCACGCCAGUGCCCGGCUGCUACCGGUGCCAGAAAUUCACCUCACCGCCCUGGGAAUCAAGAGGCUGCAAAGCCCCUGGGUCUUUCUUCCUUUGCACUCCCAAGUGGAUCGGAGCCCCCAGUCGCUGGUUACUGGGGGGGGGGGGGUCUCCACCCUGUCCUGCGCGUUCACCACCAAGUACCAAACCUUCCACUGGUACCAGCCGCUCCCUGGGCGAGGCCUGACCUACCCGCUGGCCGUGAGCCCUCAGGACAACGCUACCGAGCAGCGGUUCGUGGGGCAGCCCCUGGAAGAUGGGAAACGCAGCCCUCUGCACAUCACCGACUCCCAGGUGGGGGACUCAGGCAGCUACCUCUGUGCAGUGAGAGCAGAGUGA